rnacentral:rRNA from 1 species
GAUGAACGCUGGCGGCGUGCUUAACACAUGCAAGUCGAACGGAAAGGCCAGUGCUUGCACUGGUACUCGAGUGGCGAACGGGUGAGUAACACGUGGGUGAUCUGCCCUGCACUUCGGGAUAAGCCUGGGAAACUGGGUCUAAUACCGGAUAGGACAAUGGCUUGGAUGCCGUUGUGGAAAGUUUUUUCGGUGUGGGAUGAGCUCGCGGCCUAUCAGCUUGUUGGUGGGGUAAUGGCCUACCAAGGCGUCGACGGGUAGCCGGCCUGAGAGGGGGUACGGCCACAUUGGGACUGUGAUAGGGGCCAGACUCCGACGGGAGGCAGAAGUGGGGAAUAUUGCACAAUGGGCGCAAGCCUGAUGCAGCGACGCCGCGUGGGGGAUGACGGCCUUCGGGGUGUAAACUCCUUUCGAUAGGGACGAAGCGUAUUUGUGACGGUACCUGGAGAAGAAGCACCGGCUAACUACGUG